AAAAGAGAAAGAUGGGAUGACAUCUGUCACCCCAUUGAUCACCAGGGUUGAUUCGGCUGAUCUGACUAGGCAGGUGUCCCCUUCCACCUUCACCGCUUCAUGUGCGUCCCUCCCAAAGCUGCGCACUCAGUCGAAAAGGAUGACCAUCCCUGAUAGAGGAGGACCGUUCUUCAGUUAAGGGUAUACGAGUAGCUGCGCUCUCCUGCUAGAACCUCCAAACAAGCUCUCAAAAGAGAAAGAUAGCUGAGCAUGGUGGAUCAUGCCUGUAAUCCCAGCUACUUGGAAGGCAGAGGAUUGCCAUUCACAG
rnacentral:snRNA from 1 species